rnacentral:rRNA from 1 species
GACGUACCACCCAAACGUUAUUCGGAAUCACUGGGCUUAAAGAGUCCGUAGGCGGCCAACUAAGUCAGACGUGAAAUCCCUCGGCUUAACCGGGGAACUGCGUCUGAUACUGGAUGGCUUGAGUUUGGGAGAGGGAUGCGGAAUUCCAGGUGUAGCGGUGAAAUGCGUAGAUAUCUGGAGGAACACCGGUGGCGAAGGCGGCAUCCUGGACCAACACUGACGCUGAGUGAGCGAAAGCCAGGGGAGCAAACGGG